GCUAGGAGCGGGGCACGGAUAGGAGUGGCGCACGCGUAGGAGCGGGGCGCGGGCAGGAGGAAGAACCCCAUGACUGCACACAGCGAGGAUUCCUCCAUUUCUUCCCAACGUUACUCAGCAGCCAGACCUACAAAGCCUGAGAUGACCGGGGACACCCCCGCACCCCAUCGUACCUCACGC